AGUGUCAAGUUUUUGAUUGGUCUAAUUAACAAAAGAUUGAAGGCUUAAUCAGUACAUGCAAUAUUAACAAUAGAAAUACGAACAUAACUGGUUUGAGUGACCGUAUUAAUUUCCACUCUAAGUACUCCAGACUGCUCUCAAUGAGCGCAUGUAUGCAUUGCGUACCUAUUUUUCAUUCAUGAGCUGGGGUAGCGGGAAAAUUUGCAUUUUGUCAACACCACGUGUGGAACAGCUUCUGCGUCCGGUAGCCUGGUCGCUGACAUGGGAAAGCGCUUCGAACUGCGGAAUACGGAACUGGAAAUUUGCCCUAACAUGCGAGGUACAUGAUGGUCAGAAACAGAAUGCUUCGCAACGUAAGUCAAAUGUAGUUAACAAGAUCGAUUUAAGUUGAGAAUUUAAGCACACCAAGAAAAUUGAAUCAGCCAUACUGAUGUCCGUGGUUCGCUUCUUUACAAGCAGCUUUUUAACUACUUGACAAACAGUGCAACAAUAAUAUUGGGAAUUUUUUACUUUCAGGACGAAGUAGCACAUAGUUUCUGCAUCUUUUUGGAUGAUCUUACUGAAGAUUGCUUUAUCGAUAGCACAAGUCACAAAAGCAGGAAUGGAACAGAAACUCAAUGCAUCAUAGCUUGGUUGAAGUAAGACGUGAGGAGCUCAAGAAAGGAGGAAAAAACAGGAAAAGUGCCUUGGAAUAAAAAUUUGCUCUUUUCAAGCGAAAAAAAUAAAAACAUUUAAGUCCAUUGGCGCGAAAAUUGUUUUGGGAUUAAAAAGUUGCACUUUUAAAGCGACCGGAAAAAAAACACAAGUCUUUUAAGUGAUAUUAUUUUUUGGUUAUUGCGCUUUUAAAAGGGACCAAAACAAAGUCGGAAAAAAGCUAAGUCUUU